rnacentral:rRNA from 1 species
CAAGCCACAGCUACUAAAUUAUGAUWUAAACUUAAUAGUAUUGUAGCCUAUAAUAGAGCUCUAGAUAAGAGCU